AUGCAAGUCGAGCGGUAGCACAGAGAGCUUGCUCUCGGGUGACGAGCGGCGGACGGGUGAGUAAUGUCUGGGAAACUGCCUGAUGGAGGGGGAUAACUACUGGAAACGGUAGCUAAUACCGCAUGAUGUCGCAAGACCAAAGUGGGGGACCUUCGGGCCUCAUGCCAUCAGAUGUGCCCAGAUGGGAUUAGCUAGUAGGUGGGGUAACGGCUCACCUAGGCGACGAUCCCUAGCUGGUCUGAGAGGAUGACCAGCCACACUGGAACUGAGACACGGUCCAGACUCCUACGGGAGGCAGCAGUGGGGAAUAUUGCACAAUGGGCGCAAGCCUGAUGCAGCCAUGCCGCGUGUGUGAAGAAGGCCUUCGGGUUGUAAAGCACUUUCAGCGGGGAGGAAGGCGA
rnacentral:rRNA from 1 species